rnacentral:lncRNA from 1 species
CGCCAAGGCGAUUAUCCAGGAGGACCACCACCUCCGAACAAUUUUAACAGACCACCACCGCCACCACCGCACAACUACAGCGGACCACCACCACCACCACCACACAACUUCAGCGGACCACCACCACCACCACCACACAACUUCAGCGGACCACCACCACCACCACCGCACAACUUCAACGGACCACCACCACCACCACCGCACAACUUCAACGGACCACCACCACCACCGUACAACUUCAACGGGCCACCACCUCCUCCACCAAACAACUUCAACGGACCACCACCUCCUCCACCGAACAACUUCAACGGACCACCACCACGCAACUAUGCUUCAGCAUCACCAAAUCACGGAGGAGGAGGAGGAGGAGCACCCCACAACUAUGGGGGGCCACAGGAAAACAACUAUUGGGGAGCACAGCAGCCAAACAACUAUGGUGGAC